CGAGGCCGGGCGGCAGCCCUUCCCUGCCGAGGAGGUAGUGACGCAGGCUUUUGGCGGCCCGUUCGGUGCGGGCGGCCCCGU
rnacentral:tRNA from 1 species